rnacentral:rRNA from 1 species
AGCGAACGCUGGCGGCAGGCCUAACACAUGCAAGUCGAACGAACUCUUCGGAGUUAGUGGCGGACGGGUGAGUAACACGUGGGAACGUUCCCUUUGGGUCGGCAUAACUCAGGGAAACUUGUGCUAAUACCGAAUGUGCCCUUCGGGGGAAAGAUUUAUUGCGAUUCGAGCGGCCGGAGUCUGAUUAGCUAGUUGGUGAGGUAAGGGCUCACCAAGGCGUCGAUCAGUAACUGGUCUGAGAGGCUGACCAGCCACACUGAGACGGAGACACGGCCCAGACUCCUACGCGAGGCAGGAGUGGGUAAUGGAGCGCAAUGGGGGGAAUGAUGACGGAGCCAUGCCGGGUGAAUGAUGAGAGUCUGAGGAUAGAAAAAUGCUUUCACCGGGGAAGAUAAUGACGGUACCCGGAGAAGAAGCCCCGGCUAACUACGUG